AGUAAUGUAUGGGGAUCUGCCUGAUGGCGGGGGAUAACUACUGGAAACGGUAGCUAAUACCGCAUAAUGUCUGCGGACCAAAGCGGGGGACCUCCGGGCCUCGCGCCAUCAGAUGAACCCAUAUGGGAUUAGCUAGUAGGUAAGGUAACGGCUUGCCUAGGCGACGAUCCCUAGCUGGUCUGAGAGGAUGAUCAGCCACACUGGGACUGAGACACGGCCCAG
rnacentral:rRNA from 1 species